UGAAGCGGCAACAGCUCAAAUUUGAAAUCUGGCCUCGGCCCGAGUUGUAAUUUGCAGAGGAUGUUUCUGGCGCGGUGCCUUCCGAGUUCCCUGGAACGGGACGCCACAGAGGGUGAGAGCCCCGUAUGGUUGGACACUAAGCCUGUGUGAAACUCCUUCGACGAGUCGAGUAGUUUGGGAAUGCUGCUCAAAAUGGGAGGUAAAUCUCUUCUAAAGCUAAAUACCGGCCAGAGACCGAUAGCGCACAAGUAGAGUGAUCGAAAGAUGAAAAGCACCUUGAAAAGGGGGUUAAACAGUACGUGAAAUUGUUGAAAGGGAAGCGCUUGUGACCAGACUUGCGCCGGGCGGCUCAUCCGGGGUUCUCCCCGGUGCACUCCGCCCGGCUCAGGCCAGCAUCGGUUCUCGUUGGGGGAUAAGAACGGCAGGAACGUGGCCCUCCUUCGGGUGGGUGUUAUAGCCUGCCGUACGAUACCCUGACGGGGACCGAGGUUCGCGCUCCGCAAGGAUGCUGGCGUAAUGGUCAUCAGCGACCCGUCUUGAAACACGGACCAAGGAGUCGUCCAUUAGAGCGAGCGUUUGGGUGUCAAACCCGCACGCGUAAUGAAAGUGAAAUUAGGUGAGAGCUUCGGCGCAUCAUCGACCGAUCCUGAUGUUCUCGGAUGGAUUUGAGUAAGAGUUUUAACGGACGGACCCGAAAGACAGUGAACUAUGCUUGUAUAGGGUGAAGCCAGAGGAAACUCUGGUGGAGGCUCGCAGCGGUUCUGACGUGCAAAUCGAUC
rnacentral:rRNA from 1 species